rnacentral:rRNA from 1 species
UACAGAGGUCUCAAGCGUUGUUCGGAUUCAUUGGGCGUAAAGGGUGCGUAGGCGGUGGGGUAAGUCUGAUGUGAAAUCCCGGAGCUCAACUUCGGAACUGCAUUGGAUACUGCCUUACUUGAGUACUGGAGAGGAGAUUGGAAUUUACGGUGUAGCAGUGAAAUGCGUAGAUAUCGUAAGGAAGACCAGUGGCGAAGGCGAAUCUCUGGACAGUUACUGACGCUGAGGCACGAAGGCCAGGGGAGCAAACGGG